GACAGAGGGUGCAAACGUUGUUCGGAAUUACUGGGCGUAAAGCGAGUGUAGGCGGUCUGAAAAGUCGGGUGUGAAAGCCCCGGGCUCAACCCGGGGAAGUGCACUCGAAACUGCCAGGCUAGAGUAUCGGAGAGGUUGGUGGAAUUCUCGGUGUAGAGGUGAAAUUCGUAGAUAUCGAGAGGAACACCGGCGGCGAAGGCGGCCAACUGGACGAAUACUGACGCUGAGACUCGAAAGCGUGGGGAGCAAACGG
rnacentral:rRNA from 1 species